rnacentral:lncRNA from 1 species
UGCAGCUGCGCACUGAGACCUAGCUGAGUGUCUUACCCUGCGGUGGCGACGGAGAACCCCGGUGGGCGUGUUUACCCUGUGAAUGGCCUAGCGCUGCUAAAGCCCCGCACUGAGACGUAGCUGGGUGUCCUCCCCUGUGCACGGCUGUGGAGGAUCUGGGCGGACGUUGUUACUUUGUGGAUCGCGGGAAUGCUGUAGCUGCGCACUGAGACCUACCUGGGUGUCCUCCCCUGUGCACGGCUGCGGAGGAUCUGGGCGGGCGUCAUUACUUUGUGGAUCGCGGGAUUGCUGCAGCUGCGCACUUACAUCUAGCUGGUGUCUUCCCCUGCGGACAGCUGCGGAGGACCUGGGUGGGCGUCAUUACUUUGUGCAUAGCAGGAAUGCCGCAGCUGCGCACUGAGACCUAGCUGGUGUCGUCCUCUGCGGACGGCUGCAGAGGAUGAGAGGAGGGAGGAGGCGUCGUUACUUUGUGCAUCGCGGGGAUGCUGAAGCCAUGCACUGAGACCUAACUGGGUGUCCCCACCCAGUGGACGGCUGCGGAGAACCCGGGCGGGCGUCAUUAUACUGCGGGGGCGGGCGUCAUUAUACUGUGGAAGGUGGUGCUGCGGGAACUGUACAGAGACCUAGCCGGGUGUUCCUGCCCUGCGGAUGGCAGCGGAGAACCCUGGGGGGCGUUUUUAGCCUGCGGAUCGCCUGGUGCUGCUGAAGCCGCGCUUGAAGACCUAGCUGAGUGUCCUCCCCUGCGGAAGCCUGCGGAGGACCUGGGCGGACUCUUUACCCUGUGGAUUGCGCCGCUGCUGAAGCCGCGCACGGAGACCUAGCUGGGUGUCUUCCCCUGUGGUAGGCUGCGGAGGAUCUGGGUGGCUCUGGAGAUCGCAGGAAUGCUGAAGCCUCGCGCUGAGAUCUAGGCUGAGUGUUCUCCGCUGUGGAUGGCUGCGGAUGACCCGGGCGAGCUCUUUACCCCGCUGAUCUCAGCGCUGCUGAAUCCCCUGCACUGAGACCUAGCUGAGCGUUCCCUACCCUGCAGAUAGCUGUGGAGGACCCCGGCAGGCGUCCUUACCCUGCGGAUUGCCUGGUGCUGCUGAAGCCGGCACUGAGAGCUACCUGGGUGACACUACCCUGCGGUUGGCUGCGGAGGACCUGGUGAGCGUCUUUACUGUGCGGACUGCGGCAAGGGUGCGACUGCGUAUGUUGGUGGGCAUCCUUAUCCUUCAGACGGCGGCAAUUCUGCAGCUGCUCAUUGAGGACAUGAGCUGGCAUCUUUCCCGGUAGGACUGCGGCACGUCUGUAGCCACGCACUAAGGACCUGGGUAGGCGUCAUGACCCUGGGAGCAGCGGCACAGCUGCGACUGCGUAUGGAGGACCCAGGCAGGCUCCUCACUCUGCCGACUGCAGCGCGCCUGUGGUUGUGCACCAAGGACCCACCCAGACAGGCGUUCUUACCCUGUGGACAGCGGCACAGCUGGGGCUGUGCACCCCAAGAUCCAGCUGGGCAUUCUUAUCCUGCCGACUGUGGCACGUCUGUGGCCAGGAGUUUUUAUGGUGUGGACAGCAGCACAGCUGCGGCUGCACACUACGGACCCAGACGGGCGUUCUUGCCUUGUAGACUGUGGCAGGGCGGUGGCGGGGCACCCACGAUGCAGGCGAGUGUAUUACCCUGCGACUGGCAACACAGGCUGCGCAGCCAGGACUCAGGCGGGAGUCCUUACUCUGGGGGAGUCCUUACCCUACGGACUGUGGCACAACUGUGGCUGGCACAAGAACCCAGGUGGGCGUCCUUACCCUGCAGACAGUGGCAGGGCUGCGCAUGGCGGACUCGGGUGAGCCGUCUCAUCCUGUGGACCGUGUUACUGUUGCGGCUGUGCACUCAGGACCUGGUGGGGAUGGGGUGUGUGUGUUCCUCUUCUGCUGACUGUGACUCCGUGCCAGCUGCACGGAGGACCAGGGCAGGUGUCUUUGCUUUGUCAACGACAGCACUGCUGCAGCAGUGCACGAGAACCAGACCUGGAGCCGGGUAGAGGAGGUCCCUCCCCUUCUGACUGCAACACAGCUCCACCUGCAACCUGAGACCUGGGUGAGCAUCUUUGCCCUGCCCCGUGCCAUUGUUCUGGCUAUACACCAGCGACCUGGACAGGUUUUCACAUCUCUAUGCUGGAUGGGCUGGCCCAGCCGGUUGUGCACUGUGAGGUGCUGCAGGAGGAGCUGCGAGGACACAUUCUUCUUGACUUCUCAGCAUAGGAAUGUCUCACGUCCAGUCCACGUCCCUGUCCUAGUCCUCCUCUCUGCUCCUUCCACACUUCCUCACGGUGGUCUCCUGCACGCUCGUGGCUGUCAGUAUCAGACGAGGGCAGCUUCUGCAUUUUCUCAAUUCCAACCACUCCUCUCCACUUACCUACCCAGUAUCUCUACUGGGUGUCUUCCAGUCAUCCUGCACUCAACGCGACUGACAAUUUACUUCCAACCGGCUUUACAAUUUCCCUGACUUUGUUGAUGGCAACUUUUUCCUUCCAGUUGCUUAAGCCAGAUACGUUGGAGUCAUUCUUUACCAUUCUGUUCAACUUCAUACCUAUUCCUCAAGAAUUCUGGUUUCUCUAUCUCUAAAAUGUAUUUGGAAGCAGCUACUUCUUACCUUCUUUUCACGGAUUCAGGUCACCAUUCACACUCACUUGGAUUAUUGCAAUAAUUUCCUAACUGGGUUCCAUGUUUCCAGCUUUUCUGUCUGCAGUCUGUUUUGUUUUCAACAUGUGGCCAGAGGGAUCCUGUUAACAUCUAAGUGAAAUAUAUCAUUUCUCUGCAGUGGCUCCCUAGCUGCUCAGAGUAAAAUCUAAUGUUUUUACAAUGGCCUGAAAGGCUCUCCAUAACCUUAUCCCCUCCCACUUACCUCCCUGUCUCCUCUCCUCCCUCCGACACUCAGCCCCUGUGUAUUUUAGCUAUUGAAAGAAUAUGUGGGCACACUGCUAAUUUAUUGUCUUUGUGGAGGCUUGGUUUGUGCAUUCCUUAUUUCAAACACUUAUGGGUGGACUCUGGUAAUGAGCAGUCAUAUUUAUGAGUCCCCCUCCAAGUGAGGAGAUGUACUAGGUGGAAUGUGCGCCCUCCCUCACGUGGUAUACUCUUGAUACAGAGCCAAGCAGGUAGUACCGUUGGUCCUGCUUUGUAGGUGAGGGAAAGCAGACCCAAAAUGAAGGAAGUUGUCCAGGGUUACAUGCUGGGAAGUGGUGGAGGUAGAAUUCAAACCCGGAGCGCAGGCGUUGUCUGCACCUCGGAGAGGCACCGCUCUUCCUGAAAUGCUCCUCCCUGGUUAUCUAUGAGGCUGAAGUCCUCACCUCUUUCAGGUCUUUGCUGAAUUAGAACCUUCUCCAUAAGGCAAGGCUGAUGCUGAGCACCCCACUGAAAAUUUUCCUCUCUCCCAAGACCCUCUUCUCAGUCCCUCUACUUGGCUCAUUUCAGGUGUCUAGCACGUCACGCCCUUUAAUACAUUUUGCAAGUAUUUCUCCACGAGUGUGAGAAAGUGGUUUUCUUUGGUGGGGGUUGAUUUUUCAUGGCACAUAAAGGGCAGCAGGGUUUCUUUGGGUCCUGUCUGGAGGCCUGAAGGUCACGCUGGGCUUCUGGGGAGCGGGUCCCCUUCCUGCAGCCUCCCUCUCCACUUGCGUGUUUCUCACUCCUCUCUCUCCCUGGGAAGUGUUGCUUGAUAAAGAUGCAGCUUUUAAUUAAUGUAACUGUUCAAGAUUACAGCCGGUCAUCAGCUUUCUAACCAGUGCCUCACAGCUCUGCUGGAAGAGCCUUGCUCCGGUGAUGGUUGAUUUGCCAUUCUCUGUCCCAGCCCAGAGAAGCUCCCCUCACUGUCAACGUGCCAUCUGUCAGGUGCAUGUUAUAAAGCUGUCAUCAUGAUCAGCUCAUUCACGCACCAGCUUUAGCUUUGAGGAACUGCCGGCCAUGGCGUUGAAGACCUGCUGAAGCCUCCAGCCAGACAUCUGAUGUUCAGGUCUCAGGGGGUCCUUGCUGCUUGUGUAGCCUGACAGGUGUGGCCACGGCAGGCACACCAUGGUUUGGAGUUUGGAAAGAAGAGACCCUGUGUUAUUGUAGAGUGACCACUGGAUUGGGCUUCUGGAAAUCCAAUUCUAAUCAGACUUGGGUUAUGCAUUUACUAUUUCAAUAAAACAUUUAUGGAUGGACUCUGGUAAUCAACAGCCAUAUUUUUGAGUACCCACUGCAGGUGAGGAAAUAAAUGUACUAGGUGCGAUAUA